ACAACACCAGGCUCCUUCCAUCCACACACCACAACCACACCAGGCUCCUUCCAUUCAGGAACCACCACAGCAGGGUCGACAGCGACAGAAAAGAGCCAAAAAAGUUAAAGAUUGCCCUCACAACCAGCUUGACAUGUUCCCAGUCAGUGAAAUAAUAAAGACAAGGAUCAGAAAGGGGAGGAUGGAACACCUUUAUAACUGGCAGCCCUGCACUCUAUG